AAGCUUUAAACAGCUAUAAUUUGCGAUCAUUUGUCCAUUAUUUCUACAAUAUAGAAAAAGCAAAGAUGGUCGACCAAGGCAGCCUUGUCAUUAUACCUACCACCAUCUUUGUCUUUUUGAUAAGAAAUAACAAUUUUCUACAUCUACAAUAUAGAAAAGGCAAAGAUGGUCGACCAAGGCAGACUUAUCAUUAUACCUGCCACCAUCUUUACCUUUUUGGUAGAAAAUAAUAAAAAAAAUAAAAUUUUCCAAAAAUCUAUACAAUAUUCUGGAAGUCUCCCCAAUUUCAUCUGCUUUUUUCUCCAACCAAACCCAACAUCCUAGAAGUCUCCCCCAGUAGAAAUAUAUUUACUCCCAGUCGGUACAUUUUGAAAGACUUGCAUAAGAUUAAUUCUUCUUCUCCUCGAGGUUUUGCUCUUUGUUGUGUUGUAAUAACUGUUUGUUCGUGCGGUUUAGUAGCACAUCACUGGUGAUCUAGGAGUUGCUAGACGUGCUCGCGAGCGUUGAUUUUCAUCCGUCGCGGAUUUGCGGAGUUAGCAAGGUAGUUGCAUGGCAAUCGCGGCCUUGCUCUUCUCCCUCCUAUCUACUUUUAGAUAUUAUAAGAUGUUCUCCAGACUGUAUUAGUCUUAGUUUUUGUCAGACAGUUCUUGGUAGAUGCUCAUGACUUGUGACACCCCGAUAUCGGGCUUUUCAUUCUGCACUUUGUUAUUCAGAUUUAUCUUAUGAAGUUUUAUUAAUUAAAUAGCUUAAAGAAAUCUUUAUUUUGGUA